rnacentral:rRNA from 1 species
UGGAUCCAGACUUUGAUCAUGGCUCAGGAUGAACGCUAGCUACAGGCUUAACACAUGCAAGUCGAGGGGCAGCGGGAUUGAAGCUUGCUUCAAUUGCCGGCGACCGGCGCACGGGUGAGUAACGCGUAUCCAACCUUCCGUACACUCAGGGAUAGCCUUUCGAAAGAAAGAUUAAUACCUGAUAGUAUCUUAAGCACACAUGUAAUUAAGAUUAAAGAUUUAUCGGUGUACGAUGGGGAUGCGUUCCAUUAGGUAGUAGGCGGGGUAACGGCCCACCUAGCCAACGAUGGAUAGGGGUUCUGAGAGGAAGGUCCCCCACAUUGGAACUGAGACACGGUCCAAACUCCUACGGGAGGCAGCAGUGAGGAAUAUUGGUCAAUGGAUGAGAGUCUGAACCAGCCAAGUAGCGUGAAGGAUGAAGGUCCUACGGAUUGUAAACUUCUUUUAUAAGGGAAUAAACCCUCCCACGUGUGGGAGCUUGUAUGUACCUUAUGAAUAAGCAUCGGCUAACUCCGUGCCAGCAGCCGCGGUAAUACGGAGGAUGCGAGCGUUAUCCGGAUUUAUUGGGUUUAAAGGGAGCGCAGACGGGUCGUUAAGUCAGCUGUGAAAGUUUGGGGCUCAACCUUAAAAUUGCAGUUGAUACUGGCGUCCUUGAGUGCGGUUGAGGUGUGCGGAAUUCGUGGUGUAGCGGUGAAAUGCCUAGAUAUCACGAAGAACUCCGAUUGCGAAGGCAGCACACUAAUCCGUAACUGACGUUCAUGCUCGAAAGUGUGGGUAUCAAACAGGAUUAGAUACCCUGGUAGUCCACACGGUAAACGAUGGAUACUCGCUGUUGGCGAUAUACUGUCAGCGGCUUAGCGAAAGCGUUAAGUAUCCCACCUGGGGAGUACGCCGGCAACGGUGCAACUCAAAGGAAUUGACGGA